CCUACGGGGGGCUGCAGUGGGGAAUAUUGGACAAUGGGGGGAACCCUGAUCCAGCCAUGCCGCGUGUGUGAAGAAGGCCCUCGGGUUGUAAAGCACUUUCAGUGAGGAAGAACGCCUGGUGGUUAAUACCCAUCAGGAAAGACAUCACUCACAGAAGAAGCACCGGCUAACUCCGUGCCAGCAGCCGCGGUAAUGCGGAGGGUGCGAGCGUUAAUCGGAAUUACUGGGCGUAAAGCGCGCGUAGGUGGCUUGAUAAGCCGGUUGUGAAAGCCCCGGGCUCAACCUGGAAACGGCAUCCGGAACUGUCAAGCUAGAGUGCAGGAGAGGAAGGUAGAAUUCCCGGUGUAGCGGUGAAAUGCGUAGAGAUCGGGAGGAAUACCAGUGGCGAAGGCGGCCUUCUGGACUGACACUGACACUGAGGUGCGAAAGCGUGGGUAGCAAACAGGAUUAGAUACCCGAGUAGUC
rnacentral:rRNA from 1 species